UUUGUGUUUUCCUCCUGAAUUAUUGAGUUUUUUAAAUAUAUAUAUAUAUGUAUAUAUAUAUGUAUAUAUUUGUAUAUAUAUGUAUAUAUAUAUUUAAAAAACUCAAUAAUUCAUGAAGAAAACACAAA